rnacentral:rRNA from 1 species
GACCCUAUAGAGUUUUAUAUUUAAUUAAUAAAUUAUUUUUUAGAAUUUAAUAUUAAUUUAUUUAUUAAAUAUUUGAUUGGGGUGAUUGAAAAAUUUAAGUAACUUUUUUUAUAUAUAAACAUUAAUAUAUGACUAUUUGAUCCAUUAUUUAUGAUUACAAGAUUAAAUUACCUUAGGGAUAACAGCGUAAUUUUUUUUAAGAGUUCAAAUCGAAAGAAAAGAUUGCGACCUCGAUGUUGGAUUAAAAUUUAUUUUUGGUGUAGAAGCUAAAUUAAUUGGGUCUGUUCGACCUUUAAAAUUUUACAUGAUCUG